rnacentral:lncRNA from 10 species
GUGCCGGAUAUAAUCUCGUGGUGCGCCGUUUUUUAAGCCCGUCGGAAAAGCGCAGUAUUCGGGUGGGAGUGACUCGAUUUUCCAGGUGCCGUCCAUCACCCCUUUCUUUGACUGGGAAAGGGAACUCCCUGACCCCUUGCGUUUCCCAAGUGAGGCAAUGCCUGGCCCUGCUUCGGCUCGUGCACGGUGCAUGCACCCACUGUCCUGCGCCCACUGUCUGGCACUCCCUAGUGAGAUGAACCCGGUACCUCAGAUGGAAAUGCAGAAAUCACCCGUCUUCUGCGUCGCUCACGCUGGGAGCUGUAGACCGGAGCUGUUCCUAUUCCGCCAUCUUGGCUCCUCCCUCCAGAAAGGCAAUACUGAACUCAUAGAAUGAAUUGGGAAGUACUUCCCCUGUGUCUAUCUUCUGGAAGAGACUGUAAAAGCCAUGUGAGGACACCUAGAUGAUGUCAUUUAUGAGGAAAGGGCCUUCAUCAGACUCUGGUCCUGCUGGUGCCUUGAUCUUGGACUUCCUACUCUCCAGAACUGCACAUCAUUAAAAUAUCAACUUUGGCAGAGACGUGGAGCAAGAUGACUGCAUAGAAGUUUCUACUGAUCAUUUCCCACCGCUUCCACGGGAACACCAAGUUUGAUAUCCACACAAAGGGAGCACCUUCAAAGGAAGCAAAAAUCAGAUACAUUCCCAUUGAGGCACGAAAAUGGAUCUAGCCACAGCUCUGAUGAUAUUGCUUUGCCUUUAACAGUACCUCCCAUUAGUCUCUUGCACCAAGAUGCACAUUUUUCAGUUUACAUAGUGGAUUUCAUCAUUCUACUAGAAAGCCUCCACUUUGUUUCUGAUUCAGUUUCAGUUUCCAAACCAGGUGCUUUGUCCCUCACUGACUGUUUUGGAUGACCUCUAGUUUUUCCCCAAGGUUCUAAAUUUAGUUUGGCUUUUAUUUGGCCAUCAUUUUAAUUCCCACUUUUUGUUUUGGUGCUGUUGAUUGUACAAUCCAACCAUCUCUACCUUUCAAUAUUUGCAGGUUUCUUUUUUCCUGUUUGUCUUGAACAUUCUGAUUUUUCCUAACCUUUGAGUCACCUGCCUCUGUUUUACCAUGUCAUUGAAUUAUGGUUUAGUCAAGUGGAAAGACAAGCUCCUGUCACUGCCUAUAGCACUGCCUAGUUUCCUUCCAAUUAUCAAUAAAAUUCUUUGUUAUUAGGUUUCUUCUGUUCCACUAUAAGCUCAAGUAAUUCACAACAAUAAAACAAGACAAAAAUAAUUAACAUUCACGAGAAUAAAGAGCAGCCAUUAAAUCAUGAAGUUAUCAGGGUGGAAGCAGCUCUAAUGGCUUCCAUUUAGCCUUUCUCACCAUAAUAGCCCUUACUCUACAAGUCAUGGAGCCAAUGUGGGGGUUCAGUCAGCUGCUGAGCAUGUCUAUGCACUGGGGAAAUGACCACAGGAGGAGUCCAGGGACCCACU